rnacentral:pre_miRNA from 1 species
UGUUAAAAAAAUUAUCAAUUUGUAGGGUUAAAAAAUUGAUGUGUCUGAUUGAAUAAUCAAGUAGUGACACAUGAUGCUCCAUGUGUUCCUCGUGUUGAUGUGUAAAAACCUGUUUUUAAAAGUAAAAAUAGAAAAAUUUUAACA